rnacentral:rRNA from 1 species
CGCGUAGGUGGUUCGAUCAGUCGGAGGUGAAAGCCCUCGGCUCAACCGAGGAUCCGCGUCCGAUACUGUCGAACUUGAGUGCAGGAGAGGAGGGCGGAAUUCCCAGUGUAGCGGUGAAAUGCGUAGAUAUUGGGAGGAACACCGGUGGCGAAGGCGGCUCUCUGGACUGCCACUGACACUGAGGCGCGAAAGCUAGGGGAGCAAACGGGAUUAGAUACCCCGGUAGUCCUAGCCGUAAACGAUGGGCACUAGGUGUGGGAGGUAUCGACCCCUUCCGUGCCGCAGCUAACGCACUAAGUGCCCCGCCUGGGGAGUACGGCCGCAAGGUUGAA